CCCAGGGCUUCGCCCUGGGCUAGAAUCCCACGCCCCUUCGGGGCU
rnacentral:sRNA from 1 species